UACGGGGGGGGCAAGCGUUGUUCGGAAUUACUGGGCGUAAAGCGCGCGCAGGCGGUCCUUUAAGUCUGAUGUGAAAGCCCACGGCUCAACCGUGGAGGGUCAUUGGAAACUGGGGGACUUGAGUACAGAAGAGAAGAGUGGAAUUCCACGUGUAGCGGUGAAAUGCGUAGAGAUGUGGAGGAACACCAGUGGCGAAGGCGACUCUUUGGUCUGUAACUGACGCUGAGGCGCGAAGGUCAGGGGAGCAAACGGG
rnacentral:rRNA from 1 species